CUAUGGAAAAUACUCCUACAUAUAUUUGACCUACUUACUAUUUAGAGAGUGAAUUCUUCUCAUAGAAGAAGCCUUAUAGAUGGGCUAACAAAUCUUCCUAACAGGCAGUAGCGUCCAGCUCUUAAACUUUGAUUCACUCUAAUGGCUUGUAUCAGGUUCUGUCCAUGCAUCAGAUUCUGCAUUUUCAUUUUCACAUGGUGAUGAGCGAAUGAUUUUUGCUUGAAACAUUCCUCUGCUCGUUCUGCUAACAAUGCUUAGUUCAUUUUCUUGACUGUAGGGCGAGUUGGCCAAGCACUCAAGGGAAUACUAAUCCAUUCGGCAGUGAUUUUUGGCUCUCAACAAUGGUGCUUCGUACAGUUUCCUAGUUAUGUGUAGGCUAGGAGUUUGUGUUGUCAAAUCUUCGUCUUUAUGUAUGUUGGACUAACUACUACAAUUUGUCUUGGGCGGUUAGCCCAGGCUUCUUGCAAUGUUGACAAGCUGUACUUUGAAGGUCUGCUUUAUGCCUCAAAAGUUUUAGGUUUAAAAACGCUUGUGCAUGUUGGUAAAUCUUAUAGGUGAUCAGCUAAGUUGAUAUCGGCACAUUUGGCAAACUUUUUGUAUCUAUAUAUGAUUUUAGUUUGGUUUUUAAUUAUUUUAACAGCUGUUAACUUUAAAGAAGUUUCAAUUCUCUACAA
rnacentral:lncRNA from 1 species